UACGGAGGAGGCAAGCGUUAUCCGGAAUUAUUGGGCGUAAAGCGUCCGCAGGUGGCACUUCAAGUCUGCUGUCAAAGACCGGGGCUUAACCCCAGAAAGGCAGUGGAAACUGAAGUGCUAGAGUGCAGUAGGGGUAGAGGGAAUUCCCGGUGUAGCGGUGAAAUGCGUAGAGAUCGGGAAGAACAUCGGUGGCGAAAGCGAUCUGCUGGACUGCAACUGACACUCAGGGACGAAAGCGAGGGGAGCGAAUGGG
rnacentral:rRNA from 1 species